CGUUGAAACACCGGUUCCCGUGUGAUCACAGAAGUUAAGCAACGUCAAACCUGGUCAUUACCUAGAUGGGUGAUCGCUUGAGAAUACCAGACGAUGUAA